rnacentral:rRNA from 1 species
UACGUAGGGUGCGAGCGUUAAUCGGAAUUACUGGGCGUAAAGGGCGUGCAGGCGGUCUGUUAAGUGCAGGGUGAAAGCUCCCGGCUCAACUGGGAGAGGUCCUUGCAUACUGGCGGACUUGAGGGGGGUAGAGGAAAGUGGAAUUCCCGGUGUAGUGGUGAUAUGCGUAGAUAUCGGGAGGAACACCUGUGGCGAAGGCGGCUUUCUGGGCCCUACCUGACGCUGAGACGCGAAAGCGUGGGGAGCGAACCGG